UGCAUCGGCCGGGAAUCGAACCCGGGCCGCCCGCGUAGCAGGCGAGCAUUCUACCACUAAGCCACCGAUGC
rnacentral:tRNA from 1 species